UACGUAGGGUGCGAGCGUUAAUCGGAAUUACUGGGCGUAAAGCGUGCGCAGGCGGUUCGUUGUGUCGGCGGUGAAAGCCCCGGGCUCAACCUGGGAAUGGCCGUUGAAACUGGCGAACUGGAGUGUGGUAGAGGCGUGUAGAAUUCCGGGUGUAGUGGUGAAAUGCGUAGAGAUCCGGAGGAAUACCAGUGGCGAAGGCGGCACGCUGGGCCAUAACUGACGCUAAGACUCGAAAGCAUGGGUAGCGAACGGG
rnacentral:rRNA from 1 species